rnacentral:pre_miRNA from 1 species
AACCAGUGCAGACUGGCAUGGCCCAGGCAUCUCUGGGCGAGUAUCUCUUUGGGCGCCUCACUCUCAAGCAGGACUAGGCCU